rnacentral:rRNA from 1 species
CCUACGUGAGGCUGCAGUGGGGAAUAUUGCACAAUGGGGGAAACCCUGAUGCAGCGACGCCGCGUGAGUGAAGAAGUAUUUCGGUAUGUACAGCUCUAUCAGCAGGGAAGAAAAUGACGGUACCUGAUUAAGAAGCCCCGGCUAACUACGUGCCAGCCGCCGCGGUAAUACGUAGGGGGCUAGCGUUAUCCGGCUUUACUGGGUGUAAAGGUAGAGUAGACGGCAGCACAAGUCUGGAGUGAAAUGCCGGGGAUUAAUCCCGGAACUGCUUUGGAAACUGUGCAGCUAGAGUGCAGGAGAGGUAAGUGGAAUUCCUAGUGUAGGGGUGAAAUGCGUAGAUAUUAGGAGGAACACCAGUGGCGAAGGCGGCUUACUGGACUGUAACUGACGUUGAGGCGCGAAAGCGUGGGGAGCAAACAGGAUUAGAUACCCGGGUAGUC